UUCCCACCGUUCGAUGAAAAGCCCUCAUCUGGUUGGUUCUCCUCGCUUCCCAUCCUGCGCCGCCGCCCCUUGGCCUGCGCCCGCCUCCCAUCCGACCAAUCCAUCCUGCGCCGCCGCCCCUCGCCCUGCGCCACCCCUCUGGCCCGCGCCGACGAUCCCUCGCGAACUCGCCCUGCGCGCCGCCGCCGCCGUCUGGCACAGCGCCCCGCCUCCGCCUCCUUCGCGCAGCAGGGCACGCCGCCCCUGCCUGGCCCUCACGCCACGAAUGCCCGAGCAGCCACCGCCUGCAACUCCCCGCCACCGAGCCACGCUGUGCUCGCCACCACCUGCCCAGUCCUUAGUCGAAAUCGCCUCGAGACGUUGACCUUCAUCGACGCCUCUCCGCCGUGGUCGAUCACUGCCCCGCCACCGUCCUCAAUCGCCAUCGCCUCCAAGGAGAUAACUCUCUUAAGUCGUUUGGAGCAUGAAAAUAUAGUACAGUAUUUUGGAACAGGCUUCAUAGGAGCAACUGGAUUUUUUGAACAAGCUAGGAGCGUGAGGGGAAACUCAGCCUGUUCUUGAUCAUCUCAUAUUGAUGAAAGAGGCUCUGGAAUCGAAAGAUAUAGGUGGUGGUGCAGAAUCUGAAGGAGGAGGUGGCGGUUUUUCCUGUGUGGUGGCAGUGGCUUAGGACCGUCAUCACGGCAGAGUGAGGCCAUCAUCAAGGUGCAGAGGAGCAUGACAGUCCUCACAGGGCCAUCAUACAGCAGGCAGGCAUAAACAUCUUUUGAUUCAGCUGGCAUUGGCAACACCGGCAUAUAGGUCUGCUACGUCCUCGCAUACCCGUUGGUGACAGUGCGCCAUUGGUCAUGGCUCAUGGUGCAUCUGCAGCGAGCCAAGUCUAAUUGAGUCAGGUUUUAUAGUGUGAAAGAUUCUUGCUUCUUGGGAACGUCAGCGACAUCCAUGGAUCCAUCAAAGUCUACCCGUGGUAGACAUCCGCUUGCAGACAUCACCAACACAACACCUCAAGCUAACCAAGCACCACGUGGAUGGCGGCUAGAUGAUGUCGAUCCUAAUGCUCGUAAGAGGCUGAGAGAUAGAGAACGGUCUGCAACAAUGUCUGAUGAAAAAAGAAUGGAAAGGAACAAAAAGCAUCGUGAACGCUAUAUGAUUAAUAAAGUUGUAGACAAAGAUAAUUCGCACCUAGCUAUGCAGUUGGAGGUUGUAGGUGGCGGUAUAUCCAUGGUGAAAGAUAAAAACGAUGACUGGCUACAUAGGGGACAUCUGGAUGACUAUGAUGAAUGGCUAUAUGAGAGAGAUUUGGAUGGAAAUGACGACUUGAUUCAUGUAUCAGCAGGCACAAAAGAUGCGCAGGGAGACUGUGCCGAGGAGGAGGGCGGGCAGGCGGCGCCGGCUGCGUAGGGUGACCGAGGAGAGGAGGAGGAGGGUGGUCGUCAUUGGCGGCGCAGGGAGACCGAGCUGAGGAGAGGAGGAUGGCGCGCGUUGGUGGCGGCAGCGGCGAAGUAGGGCGAGCGAGCCAAGGAGAGGAGGAUUGCGGGCGGCGGCGGCGAUGCAGGGCGAGCGAGGAGUAGGCGAGCGAGCGAGCGGAAGAUCUGUGGACAUGCAUGUUUGAAAUAGUUAUCAUCAUUUUUGUUGUUGAGCGCGCCACUUUUUCUUAUUUUGAACGCAUGCUUUCAAUUUAUAGGCAAGUUUAUUAUUGUGCCCAUAUGCAAUUAUAUAGAAAUACUGGUGGUCAUCAUUAUUUCAGCUACCUGUCGGUCUGCAUUGAGCUAUCCAUUAUCUAAUUUGAAAGACCAAUCUGAUGCAAUCUCAGUCGUACUCA